rnacentral:tRNA from 1 species
AUUUAAAUAGUUUAAUUAAAAUAUUAAUUUGUGGUGUUAAUGAUGUAGAUAAAAAUUUACUUUAAAUU